UCCAGGAUUUCUGCUUCGUUCCUCACCACCAUGGCUCCCAGUCGCCCAAGGCUUAUGUGUUCUGGAGCAUCCUGGGGCCUGGAGGUUGAGGCAGGACCUGGCAGCCACGCCCUUGCUCCUACCUACCGGGCAGGCGCUGUCUUUGACUAAGAACGUCUAUCAUCCUGGACACUUCGCACAUUCACCUCAUUCUGCUGGGACCGCGCCCGCUGGCUCCUCACCCGCUGGGUCUCACGGUAAGAAACCCAUUGCCCUGCCACCUCCUGGAAGUCCUGGAUCCCUGGGAACAUGGCCACCCCCGGGGGAGACUGCCACACAGCCGCCGCCCUGGUUCUCUGAGCUCCAGUCAAGAACAUUGACUGGUGGAACUGCUCCUGACUCACUUUGCCACGUAACAUUGUGAGGCCUCAGUGGCCUGCACCUGUGUCCUAUCCUCAACAGUAGCCCUCCUACUGAGUGUCAGCCCUGGCCCUCCAGAGCACACAGACAAGAAGGUAGAGCAGGUUCCUGUGGCCAUGUCCUGUCCUGCUGAGAGAAAAGGGGGAACUUGGACUCCGCUAGGAUCUCGAAGACCCAUAAGGUGACAACACAAGGAUCGCCACCCGAUACCCAGCAUCUCCAUCUUAUUGCACCAAAUUGUCAGAGGCCUCAGAUUUCAUAGAACUGGGCUUUCAAGGAACCCAGCCACCAUAAUCUGAGGAAGCCCAAGGAACUGCAUGUACUGGUUCCAGCUGACAGCCCCAGUUGACAGUCAGAACCAACUGCUACAGACAGAAAGUAUAGAACGGAAUGAAGGUCAUUCUGAUGGUUUGCCUCUACAUCUGGGAGGAUAACGAUCCCAUCAACUGAAGGGGGUCCGUAGAGGAAGAACAGAACCUGCGUUUGAGGAACCUAUGGGGCAUUCACAAGGAGAGGUCAAGCAGACAGGAUAUAAACAUCUGGAGCUCAGGUGACAAAUCUAAGCAAAAGAUAGAAAUUGUUGAGUAACUGACUCGGGCAAAUUUCCCUGCAGGCCAGAACCAC